AGUGAGUGACAUUUUUAUGGAACUGUAGACUUCAGAACCCAUUUUUCUUUCUUUAAGAAACCCUAAAUACUUUGAGAAUUUGAAUAUUUAGGUAGGCUAUGAAUUUGAAUUCUUUAAUCAUUUUUACAGUUACGCCGUGUAGAAUGUUUUUGAACCACUAGUGAUGGAUAUUGCAAACUAUCGAGUUCCAACGUGUGACCUGUUUUUUGCUCCUUCAGGGAUGUACUUGAUUUUCUUUUGCACUGUGUUCACGUGUUAUAAUUACCGAUGCAGAUAAUUCAUUAUCCUUUCAUUGAUUUUUAUCAGUGAGCUACAGUUCUGGCAAAUUAACAAUGUAUUUCCGCCUUUCCGAAUUUGAUUGAUCAUUUUUCAGAGGGGUUCACAAAGAUGUGAUUUUGGAUGUGUAAAUAGAUCCCCUGUAUUUUAAAAAAUGACACGAUAUAAGACGUUUGCAUGCACACGAAUGUAUGAAAUAACAGCAAGGCACCAAAAUUCCCCACAAUUCUUUGGACACCUGUACAGACAACUAGACGUGGGAGUAAGUCACUUGAUGGUGACCUUGU